UUCUUUUCUUCCUUCUUUUCUUUUCUUCUUUUUCUUUUUAAUUUUGAGACAGAGUAUCACUAAGUUGCCCAGGGAGACCUUGCCAUCCUCCUGUCUCAGGUCCCCAAGUAGCUGGAUCUCAGGCUUGGGUGUCCUGGUCUGGCUGUGAAUCUAUCUUUAUUACACAGAUUGUGUAAUCCAGAGCCUUGCCUUUGCUAGACAGAGGUUCUACUACUCAGGUACUCAGCUACACCCACAGCCUAGUCAUUCUUUGUACCAGAUGUAGUAACUUUUAUUUUAAAGUCUAUACAUUUUUUUUAGUUAAAAAACAAUCCCUAAACCUGUUUAUUAAGACAUAUUUAUCAAUUAUGAAGGAUCCAUUGAGCUCUAAUGGUAGCAACCCAUCUCUAAUGGCUGCAUUCGAGUGCGAAUGUAACUAGAACGUGCUGACACUGCCAUAGCUUCUGUAGAUUUCAUCUAUCAUAGACACCAGGACACAUCUUGGUUCUAUGUGUAUUUACAGUAAUGAUACUAAGCAAGUGGUUAUGAGCACAGCAGCCCCUGCAUAGCAAGAACUCAAACAUUUGUUGCACUGAAACAGCUCGUGAGAACAAGCCUGUCACUUGAGCAUACCAAUAAGCCUUUACUGAAGUAAGUGUUGUAUUUACUAAGGUGUUUUAUUACUACCAUCACCAGAAAGCACAUUGACCUCUGCAGCUGAUUCUUCCUGAGUCCAUCCUCGUUCGGCCUUUCGCUCUGGACCAUCUAUUCCCGUAUCCUCAGUUACUCUCAGGAUAGUUUUGACAUACUCUUGACAUUUCCUCAUCUUUUCAUACCUAAUUUAAAUGUCUUGGUUUAAUUACUGCAGUUUGGCUGUUGCCUACCCAGCUAUUUCCUUAACCAGUACUAUGGAACACCCUUGCCUGUCUUGUUAAAGAUGACUGUGUGUCUACUCAGGGCCAGCCUCUUUGUCCAUUCCUACUGUUCAUAGUCCUGUCCACUAGCUGUAGAGCUCGAAACUCCUGACUCAGUUCCUUUGCACUCAUGCUUUCUCGGUCUUGUUGGAAGCUUGGCAAACCAUCUGCAUUCACAAGGCAACAAGAAGCAACCUUGCAGAGCCCCAGAGGAAAUCAAACUGUGGUUCAUUCUCCCCUUAGUAGUAUAUCGUCUGUAUGUUGGCGUCUCAAAUUGGGGCUCAUGUAACUGAACCGAGUCAUGAGGACUGGCAAGCAUAGGGUUCUGAAUGCCAAACAACCAAAAUUUGAUUCAAAUCAGGUACAUACUAGUGUUGUCUGGUGCCGCUUUUCCUGCAGCCUGGAUCCAGAACACAUACACACUCAGUUUGCACUCAGCCUGCUGGUGAGCACCAACACGCACUGCUUGGGUUUAACUAUUAACAAAUGAACUGCAUCUCUUUUUUUUUUUCAUUUCAUUUGGGUGUACAUACAUAUUUUAUUUUUUCAAAACAGAGUAUCUGUGUAGUCCUGGCUAUCUUGGAACUCUGUAGACCAGGCUGUCCUUAAUCUCAGAGACCCUCCUGCCUCUGCCUCCCAAGUGCUGGGAUUGAAGACAUGCACCACCACUGCCUGGCUCUGUAUUGGUUUUAUUAAAAACUUCAAACAAUAUGCAAGACCUACUAUACUCUGCACCAACAGGUCUGACUGACUCAAAAGGAGAUGAUAGAAACCAUGGCCUGGGAAGUACAGACAAUUACCUGAAAGGAAUAGUUAAUACAGUGAUCUCAGACAGUAAGAAAGCUUGCCAAUAUAGCCUUUUCAUGAUGUUCUUGCUAGAAAGGUGAAGCAGCAGGAGCCUGAGUCUGAACAUUCUUGGAGCUUUGUGGUUAUGGUAGCAGUUCAGGAAGGCUCCUGGGGACAAGACAGGUGCUAAAGGCCAAGCAAACUUAUAGAUCUGAACCACCAGUCCAAGAAUCUGCUCAAAAUUCAGAUUUUCUUUACAAAAUAUGCUAUAUGUUUUAUUAUUCUCAUACUUUUCAACUAUUAAAAGUCAAAAACUAAAAAUAUAUAAAUAUUUCAAAGGAACUAUUUAUUUUUAUAUACACAUGUAAGCAACACUU
rnacentral:lncRNA from 1 species